UACGUAGGAGGCGAGCGUUAUCCGGAUUUACUGGGCGUAAAGCGCGUGUAGGCGGUUUGGCAAGUUGGAUGUGAAAUCUCCUGGCUCAACUAGGAGAGGUCGUUCAAUACUGCCAGACUAGAGGACGGUAGAGGAAGGUAGAAUUCCCGGUGUAGUGGUGAAAUGCGUAGAGAUCGGGAGGAAGGCCGGUGGCGAAGGCGGCGCUCUGGAACAUUUCUGACGCUGAGGCUCGAAAGCGUGGGGAGCAAACAGG
rnacentral:rRNA from 1 species